rnacentral:rRNA from 1 species
UAACCUGCCCAAGAGAUCGGGAUAACACCUGGAAACAGAUGCUAAUACCGGAUAACAACAGAUGAUGCCUAUCAACUGUUUAAAAGAUGGUUCUGCUAUCACUCUUGGAUGGACCUGCGGUGCAUUAGCUAGUUGGUAGGGUAAUGGCCUACCAAGGCGAUGAUGCAUAGCCGAGUUGAGAGACUGAUCGGCCACAUUGGGACUGAGACACGGCCCAAACUCCUACGGGAGGCAGCAGCC